CCCUUAGAUGUUCUGGGCCGCACGCGCGCUACACUGAUGCAUUCAACGAGCCUAUCCUUGACCGACAGGUCCGGGUAAUCUUUGAAUCUGCAUCGUGACGGGUAUAGAUUAUUGCAAUUAUUAAUCUUCAACGAGGAAUGCCUAGUAGGCGCAAGUCAUCAGCUUGCGUCGAUUACGUCCCUGCCCUUUGUACACACCGCCCGUCGCUCCUACCGAUUGGGUGUGCUGGUGAAAUGUUCGGAUCGGCCGUUUGUCGCGGUUUCCGCGGCUCGUGGCUGAGAAGUUCAUUAAACCCUCCCACCUAGAGGAAGGAGAAGUCGUAACA
rnacentral:rRNA from 1 species